CAAGAAAACUUCUAGAAAGAAGGUGGGCCCAAAAGCAUGAAAAUCAAACGUUUUGAAAGAGGACAUCUCAUACUUCGAGAGGACAUAACUUGAUAUCAGGGUAUCAGAUCGAUGCAAAUAUGGGUUUGAUGCGACCACAUCGAGAAGAGGUACAAUUUGGUAUGAUAUUUACAUUUAACUGAAAGCCAGAUAGCGUGAACUUCAAUGUUGAAGAUGACAAGAAUUUCCCGGUCGCCGGAAUCCCAUUAUUCGGUGACUUCUCAGAAUUGGAAUCAAAUGAAGAUCAAAUCAGACAAAUCUAACUAUAGAAUGAUCAUGACAAUGUCCUCUUUAAAUCAAGAUAUAAAAGAGGAUUCGAAACACCACGGAUCGCACUACAUUGGCGAUCAAAAGCUAUGAAC
rnacentral:lncRNA from 1 species